ACGGGAGGCAGCAGUGAGGAAUAUUGGUCAAUGGACGAGAGUCUGAACCAGCCAAGUAGCGUGCAGGAUGACGGCCCUAUGGGUUGUAAACUGCUUUUGUACGGGAAUAAAGUGACCUACGUGUAGGUUUUUGCAUGUACCGUAAGAAUAAGGACCGGCUAAUUCCGUGCCAGCAGCCGCGGUAAUACGGAAGGUCCGGGCGUUAUCCGGAUUUAUUGGGUUUAAAGGGAGCGUAGGCCGUGCUUUAAGCGUGUUGUGAAAUGUAGGCGCCCAACGUCUGCACUGCAGCGCGAACUGGAGCACUUGAGUACGCAGGAAGUAGGCGGAAUUCGUCGUGUAGCGGUGAAAUGCUUAGAUAUGACGAAGAACUCCGAUUGGGAAGCCAGCUUACUGUAGCGCCACUGACGCUGAUGCUCGAAAGCGUGGGUAUCGAACAGGAUUAGAUACCCUGGUA
rnacentral:rRNA from 1 species